GUAGGUGGCAAGCGUUGUCCGGAAUUAUUGGGCGUAAAGCGCGCGCAGGCGGUUCUUUAAGUCUGAUGUGAAAGCCCACGGCUCAACCGUGGAGGGUCAUUGGAAACUGGAGAACUUGAGUACAGAAGAGGAAAGCGGAAUUCCACGUGUAGCGGUGAAAUGCGUAGAGAUGUGGAGAAACACCAGUGGCGAAGGCGGCUUUCUGGUCUGUAGCUGACGCUGAGGCGCGAAAGCGUGGGGGAGCAAACAGGAUUAGAUACCCUGGUAGUCCACGCCGUAAACGAUGAGUGCUAAGUGUUAGGGGGUUUCCGCCCCUUAGUGCUGCAGCUAACGCAUUAAGCACUCCGCCUGGGAGUACGGCCGCAAGGCUG
rnacentral:rRNA from 1 species